UACGUAGGGUGCGAGCGUUAAUCGGAAUUACUGGGCGUAAAGCGUGCGCAGGCGGUUUUGUAAGCCAGAUGUGAAAUCCCCGGGCUUAACCUGGGAAUGGCAUUUGGGACUGCAAGGCUCGAGUGCGGCAGAGGAGACUGGAAUUCCUGGUGUAGCAGUGAAAUGCGUAGAUAUCAGGAGGAACACCGAUGGCGAAGGCAGGUCUCUGGGACUGACACUGACGCUCAUGCACGAAAGCGUGG
rnacentral:rRNA from 1 species